rnacentral:tRNA from 1 species
GCCCGUGUGCUAAGUGGUUAGAGCGUUGGCCUGUAUACCAAAGGGUGGCAGGUUCGAUUCCCGGUCAAGGGCA